AACACGUGGGUAACCUACCCUUUGGUGCGGGACAACAGCUCGAAAGGGCUGCUAAUACCGCAUGAGUCGGUGACGUCCUCGGAUGUUACCGGGAAAGGUGGCCUCUACUUGUAAGCUAUCGCCAGAGGAGGGGCUCGCGUCCCAUCAGCUUGAUGGUGAGGUAACGGCUCACCAUGGCUUAGACGGGUAGCUGGUCUGAGAGGAUGAUCAGCCACACUGGGACUGAGACACGGCCCAGACUCCUACGGGAGGCAGCAGUGGGGAAUAUUGGACAAUGGGCGAAAGCCUGAUCCAGCCACGCCGCGUGUGUGAUGAAGGCCUUCGGGUCGUAAAGCACUGUGGAGGGGGAAGAACAGGCAGCGGGAACAAUACCCCGUUGCUUUGACGGUACCCCUUUAGCAAGCACCGGCUAACUCCGUGCCAGCAGCCGCGGUAAUACGGAGGGUGCAAACGUUGCUCGGAAUCAUUGGGCGUAAAGCGCGUGUAGGCGGCGCGUUAAGUCGAGUGUGAAAGCCCUGGGCUCAACCCAGGAAGUGCGCUCGAUACUGGCGUGCUAGAGUACGGGAGAGGGUAGCGG
rnacentral:rRNA from 1 species